rnacentral:snRNA from 1 species
AGAUGUGAGGGCGAUCUGACUGCAACAUCUGUCACUCCAUUGAUUGCCAGGGUUGAUUUGGCUGAUCUGGCUGACCAGGCAGGUGUCCCCUUUCUCCCUCACCGCUUCAUGUACAUCCCUCCUGAAUCUACAUGCUAGGUUGAAGAGGAUGGCCUUCCCUGAAUAGAGACGGACUGGUCUUCAGUCAAAUGUAUACAAGUAGCUGCGCUCCCCUCCAAACAGGAUCUCAAGAUCCAUUUGUAGGAGAACAUAGGGUAGUCAAGCUUCCAAGACUCCAGACACAUCCAAAUGAGGCACUGCAUGUGUCAGCCUGCCUUUU